UUUUGUUCUAGGACAAUACUGAUUCCUGUGUUUUAUAGUGAAGUGAGUAUAUAUAUACUUAGUUAGAUCUUUUAGAUACUUAACAGUAUAUAUUCUUGGUCAGAGUGUUUUAGUCCCGAAGUGUUUAUAGUUCGUAUAUCUUUUAUAGGUUGAUAUACUUGAUUCACUAUAAACAAUGCUCUGAUACCAAUCUGUCNUUAGUCCCGAAGUGUUUAUAGUUCGUAUAUCUUUUAUAGGUUGAUAUACUUGAUUCACUAUAAACAAUGCUCUGAUACCAAUCUGUCACACCCCAAAACCGAUAACGGCGGAAUACGUUUCGGGGUGGAUGACGUAGCGAACAGUAUCAUCACAAUUGCAUAAUAGUAGAAACAAGAAACAUACAACCAUAGUAUUAGAUAGUGAGUUUAAUUACAAGUGUGUUUUUAUAAUAUUUAACAAUCACCCAAAAGUAAAUCAAAAAUAAGAGAUGGGUCUUGUGUGCUCCACUUUCUCCAAAAACGUUGCGUCUGUACCUGUUUAUCUUUGACCUGAAGAUACAAGUUAUUUUGAAAACGAUUAUCAGCAUAAAGCUGGUGAGUUCAUAAGAGUUUAGUGUGAGUUUUUGUAUACAAAGCAUUAGUGUUAAAAAUGUAUCAUUACGUUCAUAAAUAGUAGAGACUUAGAAAAUCCCAUGUUUUCCGGGAAAAACAUUGUAAGUGACAAUCUGUGAAAAGUAUGCAUUCUUUAUUCCUUUGAAAACAGUUUAUUUUAUAAAUACAUUGGCAAUCUCCAAAUAACAAGUGUGGUGGAAUAGGUUGAGCCUGUAAAUCAGUGAUAGAGGUGCAAGCUUCCUUUAGUGAUAGAUACUUACUUAUUUCGGGAUGCAGUUUAACAUUUAGUGUAGUAUUUUAGAGUUGUUGUAGGGUAUUCCUUGUAUAUUACCACUAGUGAGGAUA
rnacentral:lncRNA from 1 species